rnacentral:rRNA from 1 species
CCUACGGGUGGCAGCAGUGAGGAAUAUUGGUCAAUGGACGCAAGUCUGAACCAGCCAUGCCGCGUGAAGGAAGAUGGCUCUAUGAGUUGUAAACUGCUUUUGUACGAGGGUAAACUCAGACACGCGUAUGUGUCUGAAAGUAUCGUACGAAUAAGGAUCGGCUAACUCCGUGCCAGCAGCCGCGGUAAUACGGAGGAUGCAAGCGUUAUCCGGAUUUAUUGGGUUUAAAGGGUGCGUGGGCGGUCGGAUAAGUUAGAGGUGAAAUCCCGGGGCUCAACUUCGGAAUUGCCUCUGAUACUGUGCGGCUAGAGAGUAGUUGCGGUAGGCGGAAUGUAUGGUGUAGCGGUGAAAUGCUUAGAGAUCAUACAGAACACCGAUUGCGAAGGCAGCUUACCAAGGUACUUCUGACGUUGAGGCACGAAAGCGUGGGGAGCAAACAGGAUUAGAUACCCGUGUAGUC